rnacentral:rRNA from 1 species
UGAGGAAUAUUGGUCAAUGGGCGCGAGCCUGAACCAGCCAAGUCGCGUGAGGGACGACGGUCCUACGGAUUGUAAACCUCUUUAGGCGGGGAGUAAUGUGCUCUACGCGUAGAGUAGUGAGAGUACCCGCAGAAUAAGCAUCGGCUAACUCCGUGCCAGCAGCCGCGGUAAUACGGAGGAUGCGAGCGUUAUCCGGAUUUAUUGGGUUUAAAGGGUGCGCAGGCUGUGCAUCAAGUCAGCGGUAAAAUCUCGGGGCUCAACCCCGUUUAGCCGUUGAAACUGGUGUACUGGAGUGUGCGCGAGGAAGGCGGAAUGCGCGGUGUAGCGGUGAAAUGCAUAGAUAUUGCGCAGAACUCCGAUUGCGAAGGCAGCCUUCCAGUGCAUGACUGACGCUGAGGCACGAAAGCGUGGGUAUCGAACAGG